rnacentral:lncRNA from 1 species
GAUCUACUUAAAACUACUCCUAGGAAGAAUAGUAAAUGCGGGAAAAGAAAAGUUACAGGUAAACUACUCCUAAAGAAAGCAGGAAAUUGUAAGGAAUUAAGGGUGGUCUUUUGUUCACAGGAAAAAAGACAUUUUUUUAGGGCGUUAUUACCCUAUUUAUAGAUCGCCUCUUGAUCAGUUAUUGUUCUUACACGAUCGGCCACUAUCUCCUAAUAUCCCGAACCACCUCCAGCUGAUUGGAACCGCAUGCAACUGCGUGCGGUUACUAUAA